rnacentral:rRNA from 1 species
GAAUUUUGGCCCAAGGGGGGCAAAUCUGAUCCAGCCAUGCCGCGUGUAUGAAGAAGGCCUUAGGGUUGUUAAGUAGUUUCUGUGGGGGGGAAGGGAUUUAGUUUAGUCGUUUGGUCACUGUCGGUACCACAAAAGAAGCACUGACUAAUUCCCUGCCAGCACCCUCGGUAAUUAGGUGAAAGAGAGAGUUAAUUGGAUUAGCUGGAGUUAAUCGCAGGGAGGGGGUUUAUUUAGUUAGAGAUGUAAAGCCCGGGGUCAACCUGGGAAAUGUAUCUGAUAAUGGCAGAAGUGAGUCUCGGAGAGGGGGGUAGGAAUUUAGGGGAGCGGUGAAAUAAGUAGAGAUUUGGGAGUAACCGGUGGGAAGGGGCCCCUUGGAGGAAGAUUGACGCUCAGGUGAGAAGGCGGGGGAGCAAACAAGGAAGAUACCUUGUUAGUACACGCCUCA